CUGACAGAAUGGCAGCGUCCGGUUCUCCGGACUAGGUGAUCCACACCAGUGUUUCGGACAGCGGUUCGAUUCCGCUCAGCUCCAUUCCCCCAUCCCGGGGCUGCAAUGGUUUCGACGG
rnacentral:tmRNA from 1 species